rnacentral:rRNA from 1 species
CCUACGGGAGGCAGCAGUGAGGAAUAUUGGUCAAUGGACGAGAGUCUGAACCAGCCAAGUAGCGUGAAGGAUGACUGCCCUAUGGGUUGUAAACUUCUUUUAUAUGGGAAUAAAACGUUCCACGUGUGGGAUUUUGUAUGUACCAUAUGAAUAAGGAUCGGCUAACUCCGUGCCAGCAGCCGCGGUAAUACGGAGGAUCCGAGCGUUAUCCGGAUUUAUUGGGUUUAAAGGGAGCGUAGGUGGAUUGUUAAGUCAGUUGUGAAAGUUUGCGGCUCAACCGUAAAAUUGCAGUUGAAACUGGCAGUCUUGAGUACAGUAGAGGUGGGCGGAAUUCGUGGUGUAGCGGUGAAAUGCUUAGAUAUCACGAAGAACUCCGAUUGCGAAGGCAGUUCACUGGACUGCAACUGACACUGAGGCUCGAAAGUGUGGGUAUCAAACAGGAUUAGAUACCCCUAUAGUC